AUGGGAGUUUUAGAAAGUGAAGUGUUCCUUUUCAGCACAGAACAGGUCCACCAUGGGGGACAGCAGUGCAAGCUUCCCUACAUUCCCCUACUAAGAUGCUUCAAGCAUGAUCUGGAGGAACAUCCUGUAGCAGGGAAAAUUCUUCUUUCUGUGUAUGUCUUGUCAGUCCUUGUCUCUC
ensembl:misc_RNA